GUGUCAGCCGCCGCGGUAAGACGGAGGGCGCAAGCGUUGUUCGGAAUCACUGGGCAUAAAGAGCACGUAGGCGGUCUACUCAGUCGGAUGUGAAAUCCCCCGGCUCAACCGGGGAACUGCAUUCGAUACUGGUAGACUCGAGGACAGGAGGGGUGAGUGGAACUCCAGGUGGAACGGUGAAAUGUGUAGAUAUCUGGAGGAACACCGGUGGCGAAGGCGGCUCACUGGCCUGUUUCUGACGCUGAGGUGCGAAAGCUAGGGUAGCGAACGGGAUUAGAUACCCCGGUAGUCCUAGCCGUAAACGAUGGGCACUAGGCAAUGGGUUUUCCCUAUGGGACUCAUAGCCGUAGCUAAUGUGUUAAGUGCCCCGCCUGGGGAGUACGCUCGCAAGGGUAAAACUCAAAGGAAUUGACGGGGGAUCACACAAGCGGUGGAGCAUGUGGUUUAAUUCGAAGCAACGCGAAGAACCUUACCUGGCCUUGACAUGCAUGGAUUAGCCCUGUGAAAGCAGGGUGACAGCUCUUCGGAGUCGGAACAUGUGCAGGUGUUGCAUGGCUGUCGUCAGCUCGUGUCGUGAGAUGUUGGGUUAAGUCCCGUAACGAGCGAAACCCUUAUCGUUAGUUGCCAGCGGGUCAUGCCGGGGACUCUAGCGAGACUGCCGUUGUCAAAACGGAGGAAGGUGGGGACGACGUCAAGUCAUCAUGGCCCUUAUGGCCAGGGCGACACACGUGCUACAAUGGCCGAUACAAAGGGUUCCAAAAUCGUGAGAUCAAGGCAAUCCCAUAAAGUCGGCCCCAGUUCGGAUUGCAGGCUGCAAUUCGCCUGCAUGAAGCUGGAAUCGCUAGUAAUCGCGUAUCAGCCAUGACGCGGUGAAUAUGUUCCUGAUCCUUGCACACACUGCCCGUC
rnacentral:rRNA from 1 species